ACGAACGCUGGCGGCAGGCCUAACACAUGCAAGUCGAGCGCGCCUUCGGGUGAGCGGCGGACGGGUGAGUAACGCGUGGGAAUAUGCCCUUCUCUACGGAAUAGUCCUGGGAAACUGGGGGUAAUACCGUAUACGCCCUUUGGGGGAAAGAUUUAUCGGGGAAGGAUUAGCCCGCGUUGGAUUAGGUAGUUGGUGGGGUAAUGGCCUACCAAGCCGACGAUCCAUAGCUGGUUUGAGAGGAUGAUCAGCCACACUGGGACUGAGACACGGCCCAGACUCCUACGGGAGGCAGCAGUGGGGAAUCUUAGACAAUGGGGGCAACCCUGAUCUAGCCAUGCCGCGUGAGUGAUGAAGGCCUUAGGGUUGUAAAGCUCUUUCAGCUGGGAAGAUAAUGACGGUACCAGCAGAAGAAGCCCCGGCUAACUCCGUG
rnacentral:rRNA from 1 species